UCAUCAAGUAUAUAUUUUUCUUACAAUCAUUUGUUACCUACCUCCUAAAAGAUUUGUAUUAUUUAAAUCUAGUUCAAUAUUCAAGGGAUACCUAAUUCUUGAUUCAAGGGCCCAAAAACAAUAUGAUGUCGAUAACACAAACAAUUCAUACAAGGAAAUAGUUCGUGCGACCUCCGAGCAUCAAGAGCUAUACAUGGAGAGAGGCGAGCGAGAGAGUCAGAUACAUGUGAAUCCACUAGGAUACAUUGUAUCUAGAACAAAUUACACCUAAUUUUGAUCCCAUGUAUCCGAGAUUCAUGUAUCUGGACACGCCAGAUACAUGUAUCAGAAGUCCAAAUUUUGGCAAGUUUCUUAAUAAUGAAAAGUGAAGGGAAGGGAGGUAGUUAGGUACUAAACUAGUGAAGUUUUUCCUAAUAUGUUAUAUACUAUUAUACAUUGUAUAAUGUUGUGAGAAUUUUAAUGGUGCUUGGAGAUGGAUAAAUUUGUAUGUUAUACACUAUUAUACAUGGAAUAGUGUAUUUGAUCGUUUCAACUAAA